AUGCAUCAAUUUGCCAGGCCUGGAGCACAUACUGUCUGCUGCUAAGGUUUCCACCACAGAUGCAAGAAAAAAGUAUCCUUGGACUUUCUGUCUGACUGUGAAAGCCUAGAUUGAAUGGGGGAAUACAGGG
ensembl:snoRNA